rnacentral:miRNA from 1 species
UACCUCAUUGACUGGAAGGAAUCCCAAUCCCUCCUUGUUGGUAAGUUUGUUGUACCUCACUGACCAAAAGGGGUCCCUCUUGGUCAAUGAGGUAAAACAAACUCAUUGAACGGAAGGGAUUCCUUCCAGUCAAUGAGGUA